rnacentral:rRNA from 1 species
UACGUAGGGUGCGAGCGUUGUCCGGAAUUACUGGGCGUAAAGAGCUCGUAGGCGGUCUGUCGCGUCUGCUGUGAAAACUCGGGGCUUAACCCCGGGCCUGCAGUGGGUACGGGCAGACUAGAGUGCGGUAGGGGAGACUGGAAUUCCUGGUGUAGCGGUGAAAUGCGCAGAUAUCAGGAGGAACACCGGUGGUGUAGACGGCUAUCUGGACCGUAACUGACGCUGAGGCACGAAAGCGUGGGUAGCAAACAGG